rnacentral:rRNA from 1 species
GUUUCCCUUUGUGCGAUCUUCGUUUCCUUGGGUCAUUUAGAGGAAGUAAAAGUCGUAACAAGGUUUCCGUAGGUGAACCUCGCGGAAGGAUCAUUACCUAGAGUUGUAGGCUUUGCCUGCUAUCUCUUACCCAUGUCUUUUGAGUACCUUACGUUUCCUCGGUGGGUUCGCCCACCGAUUGGACAAAUUUAAACCCUUUGCAGUUGAAAUCAGCGUCUGAAAAAACUUAAUAGUUACAACUUUCAACAACGGAUCUCUUGGUUCUGGCAUCGAUGAAGAACGCAGCGAAAUGCGAUAAGUAGUGUGAAUUGCAGAAUUCAGUGAAUCAUCGAAUCUUUGAACGCACAUUGCGCCCCUUGGUAUUCCAUGGGGCAUGCCUGUUCGAGCGUCAUUUGUACCUUCAAGCUCUGCUUGGUGUUGGGUGUUUGUCUCCUGUAGACUCGCCUUAAAACAAUUGGCAGCCGGCGUAUUGAUUUCGGAGCGCAGUACAUCUCGCGCUUUGCACUCAUAACGACGACAUCCAAAAGUACAUUUUUACACUCUUGACCUCGGAUCAGGUAGGGAUACCCGCUGAACUUAAGCAUAUCAAUA